GACGAACGCUGGCGGCGUGCUUAAUACAUGCAAGUAGAACGCUGAAGGAGGAGCUUGCUCUUCUGGACGAGUUGCGAACGGGUGAGUAACGCGUAGGUAACCUGCCCGGUAGCGGGGGAUAACUAUUGGAAACGAUAGCUAAUACCGCAUAAGAGUAGAUGUUGCAUGACAUUUACUUAAAAGGUUCAAUUGCAUCACUACCAGAUGGACCUGCGUUGUAUUUGCUUGUUGGUGGGGUAUCGGCUUACCAAGGCGACGAUCCAUAGCCGACCUGAGAGGGUGAGCAGCCGCACUGGGAGUGAGACACGGCCCAGACUCCUACAGGAGGCAGCAGUAGGGAAUCGUCAGCAAUGGACGGAAGUCUGACCGAGCAACGCCGCGGGAGUGAAGAAGGUUUUCGGAUCGUAAAGCUCGGUUGUAAGGGAAGAACGAGUGUGAGAGUGGAAAGUACACACUGUGACGGUAUCUGACCAGAAAGCAACGGCUAACUACGUG
rnacentral:rRNA from 1 species